UACGGGGGGAGCAAGCGUUGUUCGGAUUUACUGGGCGUAAAGGGCGCGUAGGCGGCCAGCACAAGUCAGUUGUGAAAUCUCCGGGCUUAACUCGGAAAGGUCAACUGAUACUGUGCGGCUAGAGUGCAGAAGGGGCAACUGGAAUUCUCGGUGUAGCGGUGAAAUGCGUAGAUAUCGAGAGGAACACCUGCGGCGAAGGCGGGUUGCUGGGCUGACACUGACGCUGAGAAGCGAAAGCAUGGGGGAGCGAACAGG
rnacentral:rRNA from 1 species